GCCCUCCUCGGCUGCCUCCCGGUCCCUUGUUCGCCCGGGGCGCGUGGCAUCCCAACCAGCCCUGUCCAUCCCUAGCGAGGCGUGUGUUGGGGAAACCCACCAAAACACCAGCACGCUGGAGAAAAGCAACAUCUCUCUUGAGGGCAAUAAAGGAGGGCUUCAAUCCCCCCCCCCGCGCUGCCCACACAGUGGUAGGUCCUCCCCUUUUCUCUUGCUUGUACCACCAAAGGUGUGAAUUUCGAAUUCUCCUCACUCUGUCAAAAUCGAUCGCGCCCAAAAGGAGGCGCCAAAGCGAACUCAGUCAUAGAGUCGCUCUCGUCGAACCCCGCCAAAAUGCAGCCCAGAGAAGAUGGCAAGAGUUAACCUCUAAAAAAAGGUGUGUGGGGGGGGAUAUCUUUCAUUAAAAUUAACAGCAUGGAUUAUUUCUUUCCCCACCGGUGCACGAGCUUCUUUCCCAUCGUUUCCAGUCGGAGAACCAAGGCUGGGUUCGGUGGAUUCAGUUUGUCUCCUUAUAGCUGCUCGGCGAGAAAUAAAGAAAAGAAGGAAAGAUUCCUCCCCCGCCCCACCCAACGUGAUUCUCUACCCUAGCCCGCCCCUUUUAAUGAGCUGGCUGCAUUGUAACAAGUUAUUUUGAUACACGCAGCUGUCAUUUUCAGCACCGAAUCAACAUGCUGGGGGAGGAUGUUGUACAAGUGUGAGAUUGUAUAAUUUAGACAUCUGGGAAUAAGAGGAAGCUGGUGAACCGGAUCAGACGUGAGGAAAACGGGGUGAAGAAUGGCAAAAAGAGAUGUUACAAACUGCUGAAUUUGUAGAAGACAACAGCGUGCUCAAUUUGACUGUUGAAGGCAAGAAGGAAAUGACUAUUCUCCAACUUCCAGCUUCACGUGUUGGAAGUCUUUCAAUGUCUUCCCAUGUGGGGGUUCCUGUCCCUUUCUGGCCAUUUAGGAGAGUCUCCUGGGUGGAACCCCUUGGUCGGAUCUUUGUAAGAGGGACACCAUAAUAAUCAGAUUCUCCACAUACCCCAUGUGGUUGCUGGUCUGCCCCAGAAGGAAAACUCACAUUGGAAUAAAGAACAGCUUUUCUCCUGGAGCAAAUGGUAUCUAGAGAACAUCCAGAGCACUAGGGGCAAAGGGUUAAAGCACCCUCCAUCCAAGCCAUAGUCUAAUCUGGAUCAGAUCUCCUUCCAGGCCUGACCCUAACUCUGCACCUGAUGCUGACUUCUACUGGAGGCCAUUCUCUAAGCUGGGAAGUUGAAAAUAAAACAUGAGCAUGUGUGAAGUCUCACCAGAGGGAAUGCUGCAGCUGCUUUGUUUUUAAAGUGAGAAGUUUUGGAGCUAUUAUUAUUAUUAUUAUUAUUAUUAUUAUUAUUAUUAGUAGUAGUAGUAGUAGUAGUAGUAGUUGUUGUUAUUGUUGUUGUUGUUGUUGUUGUUGUUGUUGUAGCCUUUCCUACUUCCAGUGGCUGGGGAUGAUGGGAGCUUAGUCCCACAGUAUUUGAGGAUCCAAGGUUGAGACUCCUGGUAUAGUGGGGAGAGAGGACAGCCUCACAGCCUUUUCUGGGUCUGAGAUGGUUUCUGUUAUCAAGCAGUCCAAAUGGGCUGUCAGGCUGCUUAAAUCAGGGGCUAGUACAGAAGUAAGUGGAACUUGAGCAUGAUUGAAUGAAUCUGGGCUACAGUAUCAGCUGUUGCGCUCAGAAGCCAAGGGCCUAACAUUUGAAUAGGUCCUGAAGAGAAUGGGGGAAGCAGUCUAAUUUGCAAGUCUAUUUUGAGACAGUGCCAAGAAUCUCCAUGGCACUUUACAAUAUAAACAAACAAUACAUGAAUAAAAAAAAUCUAAGGCCCUGCCAUACCCCAAGAAGCUUAGAGUCUAAAGUGUAGGUUCUCUUAGGCUCUUAGGGUCUUUUCACACAUUCUGGAAAAACAUACUUCUAAGUACAUAGAGGAGCUCUUUUCAUGAUCAGUGAGAAGAGCUCCAAGGCGGUCUGCAGAGAAGGUGAGUUUAGCCUACCUUGCCUGCAGAUGAUCUCCUGUAACCAGUAAGGUGUGCGUGUGUGCAUACGCUCACAUGGUUUUUGAUGUCUGAUCAGUUAAUUUUAGAUCCCGCUCAAGUUGAACCAGGAAGGCCCCCACUUCGAAUGCACAUGUGCACACACAGCCUUGAUACUGCCGCUCAGAACAAUUGGAGAGAACACAAUUAGAGAGAACACUGCUAGGCGGGUGGAUUGCCUGCCCACAUGAGUGGCAGCUUCCCCUGCAGCUCCGGGGGUUGGGGUGCCGGGAUGUGCUGCCACACAUUGCCCCCCCCCGCUCCAAUAAUGCACCGUGUGAGUGUGUGGUGUUUUAUUGGGAUCCCCCUGCCCUCCCCCAAUGUGCCAGCUUUGGCUGCGGCUGACACACGAUCGAAAAAAUGAGGUCAAGGGAGCGCUUGCUCCCUUAACCUCCUUUAAGAGGGAGACUUCACAGGUGAGUUUGCCACCGUGUAGCCACCAAUAUCGGGCCUGAUCUGGGCAGUUCACACCAGCAUGCAAAACUGGGCUGGGCUCCCUUAGCCUGGUUUUGCAUGCUCGUGUGAAUAGCCUCAGAAUGUGAAUGUGGCAAAUGGGUAUUUGAAAACAUGCGUGUCCUACAGGUCUGUGUGUCAGAAAGCCAGGAUUGGCUGUGACUCCCUUCUUAGAGUACGCUUGAUGGCAAACCCACAUUUGCUGUUCUGUAAGGUGUGAUAAUGUCUGUAAAUGUAGAAAUACAAACAAUUCUAAAGACGCCAGAUUCAAUAGAUGUGUAACUGUUGACUAAGAUGUAAUCAAAACUGCAGCUUGGGAGCAUGUGCUUUUAAAUAAAGCGGAGUAACACUUUUCACAGUAAUUAACACCUGCACAGCUUUAUUAAAUUUUUCUUUCAAUAAA